rnacentral:misc_RNA from 1 species
AAGUCGUAACAAGGUUUCCGUAGGUGAACCUGCGGAAGGAUCAUUAACAAAAGAAUGCAUGAAUGAGAAAGAGCAGUGUGUUUGUGAGUGUGUGGUAGUUUGUUAUGUGUUUUGGGGGCUGUGGAGAAGGGGAUAACUCUCUCUUGGCUCUUAUGGGGCUGGCUUUCUACUGCUACUAUAUGUGCAUACUCUCUCGCUCAUUCAUGUACAUUGACCCGGGCAAGCGAUGGUGGAAACGCCAUGGCUGGUCCGAUACAUUCACGCUUGUUUGUAUGACAGAGUUAUCAUGUGACAUAAAGU